rnacentral:rRNA from 1 species
UACGUAGGUGGCAAGCGUUGUCCGGAUUUACUGGGCGUAAAGGGCGUGCAGGCGGUUUGUUAAGUGCAGGGUGAAAGCUCCCGGCUCAACUGGGAGAGGUCCUUGCAUACUGGCAGACUUGAGGGAGGCAGAGGAAAGUGGAAUUCCCGGUGUAGUGGUGAUAUGCGUAGAUAUCGGGAGGAACACCUGUGGCGAAGGCGGCUUUCUGGACGGUGACUGACGCUGAGAUGCGAAAGCGUGGGGAGCAAACAGG